UACGUAGGGUGCAAGCGUUAAUCGGAAUUACUGGGCGUAAAGCGUGCGCAGGCGGUUUUGUAAGUCUGUCGUGAAAGCCCCGGGCUCAACCUGGGAAUUGCGAUGGAGACUGCAAGGCUAGAGUGUGUCAGAGGGGGGUAGAAUUCCACGUGUAGCAGUGAAAUGCGUAGAUAUGUGGAGGAACACCGAUGGCGAAGGCAGCACCCUGGGAUAACACUGACGCUCAUGCACGAAAGCGUGGGGAGCAAACAGG
rnacentral:rRNA from 1 species